rnacentral:lncRNA from 1 species
UUACAUUAAGAUUUAAAAAUAUAUCUUAAAAUUUAAAAUAUAGAUAUUAAGUAAAUAGAAAGUAUAACAAAUGGAAAUAUACAAUUUAAAAAAAAAAUGAAAAACGUACAUUAAGAUUUAAACAUCUAUCUUAAAAUGUAAAAUAGAAAUAUUAAGUAAAUAAAAAGUACAAGAAAUGGAAAUACAUAUACAGGAAAAUAAAUAAUAAGUAAAUAAUGUAAAUAUAUAAUAUAUGAAUUAU